rnacentral:lncRNA from 1 species
CUGUUUGUGAGUUAUCCCAACAAUACCCAUUGCCAGUCCCAUCAGACUCUGGAAACAGCAGAGUGCAGCACAAAAAUUGCAAAGAUUUAAUUGGCACCUGACAAAGGAUAAGCAAGGUGGGGACCAUGGGCUGCUCAGGCACUUCUGUCUUGCUGCUGUUGGAUGAAAGCACUAACCAGCAUCAGGAACUUUUGCAUGCUGCAUUUUGCAAAUUAAGGUUAUAACUGUGACUGGUAAUAAUAGAUCACAUGACAGUUUUUUCUCAUUUGUUUCCCCCAGCUUUUCUUCUUAAAUGAAAGAACUUCCUCACUCAGUUUCCACUCAGGCAGCAAGCAGCAUCACAUGGAAGGUGUGCUUUGAGAUUGGCAAGCCAGUGCAUAAAAUACCAAACUCUGGAAAUUUCAAAAUAGGAUUUUUUUGCAGUCUAUAAUAGAAAAAUAUUUAUUUAUGCACUUUAAUAAAAAUUUUGCAGAGUUUUAGGUUUGUCUUCCUCAUUUCUUUCUUUCUGCAUAUUUCCUUCUUUUCUGCCACUGGGCAUUGAGUUUCACACUAGUAAGGCUUCAUUGCAUUUCCAUCUCCAUUUUAGAUUUCAAUUUUACUUUUUAUUCCCCUUUUCUCUUUUUAGUAAAGUAAAGCUGUAAACGCUUUAGAAUAUUUAUUUAUUUUCUGAAGUUUCCAUUCCUUUACACAGCUUCAAGAGCCAUAAAUCAAGAGACUUCAGUCUUGUCUCACACUGCUUUUUGUCAUGUCUCUUCUCCCACGACUGUCCAAAAAUGGACGCUGCUGUGGUGGACAAAGAACAGGAAAGAGGGGGCUCUUUUGUGAAUACCAGCACAAGAAGUCUCCUUGCUCCUGGUGAUAUCCCACACCUGCCAUGUGUGGAGCUGGUGCAGUGGAACAAAGAGGAGCCUUUGCAGCAGCCACCCAUCAUGCUACCACUUCACUAUGAACUAAAGAGAGGGGAGGAGCUCUGUGAAGAAAACUGGCAUUUUUAUUGGUUUGGAAAGCACUUAUUCAAAACUAUUAGACUUUGGGUAAAAUUCCAAUAUGCUGGCUGAGAUUAAUUUUAUAUAUUUUUAAGUAAUCUGAUUAUUCCAUUCUUGGCAUGCACUGAACAUGUACUAUGUUUUUCUUUUUCUAUGGUUCUGUUCCUCUCUGAGCUGACUUGUAACUUAAACAAACCUCUUGUAUUUCCCACAAGUAUGCAGUAAUAUAAGUAUGCAGGUCAAGCAACUUUAACAUAAAUAGGAAAAUAGAAAUUAUUUUUCUUACAUGGGACUUGGAAAUGGUGGAGUCUUCAGUCAUGCUCCUUCAGUGGACAAAUAGGACAGACCGAAAUCUAUACUGAAGGGUAUAUUAAAUAUUGGAUUUAUAUCAGAGAGAAUGAGAGAGAGAUCACAGAGUAGCACCCAUGAUGUUUUUGCUAUUACAGCACACAAACUGUAAUGAAAUUAUUUUUUUUAAAUAAAAUUUAAGGUACGUAUUUUAAACUAGAUCA